AAUUUCUGCUUUCAUUUCAGCAUGGUAUGGGCAUUCCUUCUAUUUCAAUCGUGUCGCAUGAGCUGAUCAAACUGUUGUAUCGUGCCAAGUGUUCCAACGUAACCACUGUUUGUAUUGGCACUUCUGGUGGAAUAGGUCUGGAGCCAGGCUCAGUGGUUAUAACCCGGCAGUGUGGAGGAACCCCCUUCAAACCUCAAUUUGAAGAGGUUGUUCUGGGAAAGACCGUACUUCGCAGUACAAACCUGGAUGAACAGCUGGCUAAGGAACUGAUGCAGUGCGGGAAAGAAAUCGGUCGAUUCCAUACAGUCAUUGGAAACACGAGGUGCCCUUUGGAUUGCAGUGGAGCCAGGUCUGGAGCACCUUCAAAAGAGACAGCCCUGCUUGCCAGGCAGAGACCGUAUCCCCAUCCCGGGACAGCUGCUGGGACGUCUCAUCUUUUACUGCUUUUGCAAGAGCUGGGAGAUCAGAGGGGGGGCUUUGGAUGCUCUUCAUUACCUCUUCAGAUUCUUCCAGCAGCCAAACUGUCAGAGGAGCUGGGGUGGGCUGCCUCCCUCCACACACACAGACCUUUCCUCGUGUGCCUGCUUCUCUCGCUGAGUAUUGCAAGGGAGUUCUCUGGUGCUUCUGGAAGUCAUGCAUGAAAGUCUGCCAGAUACCAGACCUCCUUGGCCCCACACACCCCCAAGUCCUUCUCCUCAAGGCUGCUCUCCAUCACAUCGUCCCCCAUCGUGUACUGAAAACAGGGAUUGCCCCGACCCGGGUUUAGGACCUUGCCCUUGGCCUUGUUGAAUGUCAUGAGGUUCUCGUAGCCCCACUUCUCCAGCCUGUCCAGGUCCCUCUGGAUGACAUCCCGUCCUUCCGGUGUGGCAACUGCACCACUCAGCUUGGUGUCCUCACCAAGGGAAAGAGCAAAGCUGAUGCACUUGCAGCAGCGCUGGCUGUUGUCCUUCAACAUUUGGACUUUAUCCUCAGCUGAGUGACUGCUCCCAGGGAGUGGUGUUUGACAGCCUGGAGACCCUCUUUGCACGCAACAUGGUGUCUGCUCUCCUCUGCCUGCUUAAAGCUGUCAGAAAACAACCUCAUAUCUAUUUUGUGAACCUGUCCCAGGAUUAUGCUUCUUGGAAAGCCGGGGAGGCAGCGGUGAAAGAUGAGAAAGGUGAGGCUCUUCGUCACCUUGCCUCUCAACUAUUCUUUCUCAAGCCCUCAAGCUUUCCCAUGUGUAUUUCUGUUUCCAGCAGAGCUUGCAGGAAAUGUUUUUAUUAAUUCUUCAACCUUCCACAUCAGUGUAGGCAGCACUCAGCUGGUGACUGCUUGCAGCUGUAAGGCUGACCUUACUCUCUAGCGUUAGAGCUCGGGCAAGCAAUUGUGGCUCAUUAAUUAGCCACCAGGCAGCCGUCCACAGCAUUGGUGCAGGUGAGCCAGGCAAGGACAGGAGCUCGCUGACUGGGGGAAGUUUGGGGGAUGAUUUGAAUUUGGAGCAGGGCUGUGAGCUCCCCACUGUCUCCUGGUAGGAUGAUGGGCUGGGCUUAAUAACUCAGCUUAAUAACAACAUACGACAAGUUCAACGUGAGAGGAAAAAGAGGUCUGUAAGCCUUCCAGGGGUAAAUCCCCAAGACAGUAUCCGUGAAGGGUUUCCCUGCUCCGGAGACCUUGGUUGAGCUCAGAGAGGUUACAGAGCAAAGGCCGCAAGUGUCUAGGACAAGUGGCACAAGGACGGCUGGGUCCACCUCCAUGGUUCCCAGCAGAGGAAGGAUGAGAACCUCUUCCCUCUG